UCUACACAGUAGAAUGGCAGGAGUAUUUGCUCUGAUUGUAGCAUCCACCCUUUUCCUCCCUUUCUCAAAGCUCUGCCACAGUAAUCCAUCCUUCUCCUGAAUGCCCAAUUAGUUCUAAUGUUCUCUCUGUCUCUCUUUUGUCCCCCAGGGAUCUACCUGCCGGUUCAGAGACUAUUUGUGCUUCCCCUUCGCUCUCUCUCAUAUAUGCACACUGGCGUGGAGGGAUAGAAGAACGAUCCAUAGCUAUCAACAGGCCCAUGUGAGCACAGCCCUGGGCUCUCCCCCGCCAGCCAUCAGCAUGUGCUCUUCACCUUCAGGCUCAUUUACAAAGUGUCAGCUUCUCAGGCAGAAGCUUGGCCCUCAUGAUGCACCCUGUUACCUUGGCCCAGCUGGUCCUGGGACAUGUUACGUACCGUCAAUUCUCUGUCUGCGUCGUAAUGGGUUGUGAGGGUGUCUUGAGUGCCCUUAAUGUGAGAAAGAAGCAUGCAACUCUUGACAAAAUAGUGCAUAAGGCCAAUGAUGAGCACCUUCAUUUAGUUCUAGAAGGAAACAGCUGUUGUGGUGCCAUGCAACAGGUGGUCCCAUCUUGCAGCAUUCAAACAAUAAAUGCCGUUUUGGCGCUGUUUAAUGUGGAUUGUUGGAUCGCUGUAGUGUCACAGUUUGAGAGAAGCGUCAGCACGAACCGCAUGAACUGAUCAUCUCCUCCGCUUUAAUACAGUUUGAGCAAGAAAAUCCUAAG